rnacentral:rRNA from 1 species
GUAUCCUACGGGGCGCAGCAGUGGGGAAUAUUGCGCAAUGGGCGAAAGCCUGACGCAGCGACGCCGCGUGAGGGAUGAAGGUCUUCGGAUCGUAAACCUCUGUCAGCAGGGAAGAACGGUCACUGUGCUAAUCGGCAGUGAAUUGACGGUACCUGCAAAGGAAGCACCGGCUAACUCCGUGCCAGCAGCCGCGGUAAUACGGAGGAUGCGAGCGUUAUCCGGAUUUAUUGGGUUUAAAGGGUGCGCAGGCGGCCUGUUAAGUCAGCGGUAAAAGCCCGGGGCUCAACCCCGGCGAGCCGUUGAAA